ensembl:misc_RNA
CUCACAGCCCUGGAGUCUGAAGUGUUUUAUUUAUCCACAGAACAGAUAUAAGCACAGGUAGGAAUUGAAUAAGCUCACAUUCUCCCUUCUAUCCUGUUUGUGUGGCUUGUGUGAUGAGUUUCCAAAAGGAACUGGACUCAGAACACCAGCUCAUUGUAGUGUUGCCAUUA